GAUGAACGCUGGCGGCGUGCCUAAUACAUGCAAGUCGAGCGAACAGACGAGGAGCUUGCUCCUCUGACGUUAGCGGCGGACGGGUGAGUAACACGUGGAUAACCUACCUAUAAGACUGGGAUAACUUCGGGAAACCGGAGCUAAUACCGGAUAAUAUAUUUAACCGCAUGGUUCAAUAGUGAAAGACGCUUUUGCUGUCACUUAUAGAUGGAUCCGCGCCGCUUUAGCUAGUUGGUAAGGUAACGGCUUACCAAGGCAACGAUGCGUAGCCGACCUGAGAGGGUGAUCGGCCACACUGGAACUGAGACACGGUCCAGACUCCUACGGGAGGCAGCAGUAGGGAAUCUUCCGCAAUGGGCGAAAGCUUGCCGGAGCAACGCCGCGUGAGUGAUGCAGGUCUUCGGAUCGUAAAACUCUGUUAUUAGGGAAGAACAAAUGUGUAAGUAAAUAUGCACGUCUUGACGGUACCUAAUCAGAAAGCCACGGCUAACUACGUG
rnacentral:rRNA from 1 species